AAAACAUGCAAGUGCGAACGGAGUGCUUCGGCACUUAGUGGCGGACGGGUGAGUAACGCGUGAGAAUCUGACUUGAGGACGGGGACAACCACUGGAAACGGUGGCUAAGACCCGAUAUGCCUGUGGGUGAAAGUAAUUUAGCCUCAAGAGGAGCUCGCGUCUGAUUAGCUAGUUGGUGUGGUAAGAGCGCACCAAGGCAACGAUCAGUAGCUGGUCUGAGAGGAUGAUCAGCCACACUGGGACUGAGACACGGCCCAGACUCCUACGGGAGGCAGCAGUGGGGAAUUUUCCGCAAUGGGCGAAAGCCUGACGGAGCAAUACCGCGUGGGGGAGGAAGGCUCUUGGGUUGUAAACUCCUUUUCUCAGGGAAGAACAAAAUGACGGUACCUGAGGAAUCAGCAUCGGCUAACUCCGUGCCAGCAGCCGCGGUAAUACGGAGGAUGCAAGCGUUAUCCGGAAUCAUUGGGCGUAAAGCGUCCGCAGGUGGCACUUCAAGUCUGCUGUCAAAGGUCGGGGCUUAACUCCGAAUCGGCGGUGGAAACUGAAGAGCUAGAGUGUGGUAGGGGCAGAGGGAAUUCCUGGUGUAGCGGUGAAAUGCGUAGAGAUCAGGAAGAACACCGGUGGCGAAAGCGCUCUGCUAGGCCGCAACUGACACUCAGGGACGAAAGCUAGGGGAGCGAAUGGGAUUAGAUACCCCAGUAGUCCUAGCCGUAAACGAUGGAUACUAGGCGUUGCUUGUAUCGACCCAAGCAGUGCCGUAGCUAACGCGUUAAGUAUCCCGCCUGGGGAGUACGCACGCAAGUGUGAAACUCAGAGGAAUUGACGGGGGCCCGCACAAGCGGUGGAGUAUGUGGUUUAAUUCGAUGCAACGCGAAGAACCUUACCAGGGUUUGACAUGCCUGGAAUCUGGGGGAAACUCCAGAGUGCCUACGGGAACCAGGACACAGGUGGUGCAUGGCUGUCGUCACCUCGUGUCGUGAGAUGUUGGGUUAAGUCCCGCAACGAGCGCAACCCUCGUUUUUAGUUGCCAGCAUUAAGUUGGGCACUCUAGAAAGACUGCCGGUGACAAACCGGAGGAAGGUGGGGGAUGACGUCAAGUCAGCAUGCCCCUUACGCUUGGGGCUACCACGUACUAAAUGGUUUGGAAAAAGGGCCAAAUUUGGGAAAAAACAAACCCCAACCUUGGCCAUUUAAAACGAG
rnacentral:rRNA from 1 species